UUAACAAAUAAUGUGCGUGUUGCGUGUUUUGCGCGCGGCAUUUGCACACGUUGAUGAGCUUUCCAAAGAAAAAAUUUUUUUGGUGGCGCAUAAUAAACAGCGUGAGGGGCUUUUCUUAAUUCGAGUGUAGUAAAAAACGACGCUUGGUAUGUGAGGAGCACAUUGCGCAAUGGGUGUGGCAGUACCCAGCCCCAACGCCACUCUUUCUUAUGAAAGAAAGUUAAUCAUCA
rnacentral:misc_RNA from 1 species